UACAGAGGUCCCAAGCGUUGUUCGGAUUCACUGGGCGUAAAGGGUGCGUAGGUGGUGGAGUAAGUCGGAUGUGAAAGCUCGGAGCUCAACUCCGAAAUGGCAUUGGAAACUACUCCGCUAGAGGAUCGGAGGGGAGACUGGAAUUCUCGGUGUAGCAGUGAAAUGCGUAGAUAUCGAGAGGAACACCAGUGGCGAAGGCGAGUCUCUGGACGAUUCCUGACGCUGAGGCACGAAAGCGUGGGGAGCGAACAGG
rnacentral:rRNA from 1 species